rnacentral:lncRNA from 1 species
UUAAAGUCCUUAAUAUGACACCCAAUAUGAAAUAUUAAGGCUAGGACCCAACAAACUAUUUUAUAACUUAGAAGAGGUAUGCCGUAAUCCAAGCUAUAAAAUAUUUGAAGGUAGGUGAAUGACGAUUCACCAAUUUCCACCAAGAUAAACGAAAUGUAUUAUUAGGUUUUAAUUGGUUUUGAAACUCCUAGAUCUUUGAGAUUCAUUGAACUGUUCAAAGGCAUGUUUCAAUCUCGAGUGUGCCCUUCAGGUUUUGUGACUGGGAUGCCGAGGAUCACAAAACAAGGUGUGAAGUAACCAUGCAAAUCACUUGGUACCCUUAAUAAAUUACCCCUCAAUCGAUGUGCCGGUUAACCACACACGCUCCAUCGAUACUAUGAUAAAUAUUAAGUCACCCUUUACCUACCUUGUUAAGUCCAAGUUAGUGUGCCGGUUAACCACACACGCUCCACUAACGACUUAGACAAAGUGUAAAGUGUAAUUUCAUGGAUUAGCACCUUAUUCACAUUUUUCCUAAGUAACUAAGAUUGGGUAUUAUUAAGAGUUUAGUUACUUAGUAUUAUCAUUAAUACUUUUAAUGAAGGGAGAAUUCUAGUCCUGUCAAACCCGUUCGGCUAACGACCCUCCACCAGUCAAGCAAGCGGUGGGUGAGAGUGGACACCCAUUAAGUUGCCAUUUUAUAGGCAACAACCUUAUACCCACCUUAUAGACCGGCUUCGUGAAUGAGGCGUACUAGCGGUAAGACUGACUUUACUCUUAUACAUAUAUAUAUUAUUAACUUAUAAUAUUAUAAAGUAUAAGGGUUGAAUUUUAACUUUUAAAAUUCUAAGGGCUAACUUGGAAUUAAAGUAUUCAUAAGUGAAAACUUUACAAAUUCCAAAACUUGAGGGCAAGUUUUGAAACUAUUCAAAACUAAUUAAUUCCAUAACUUAUGUGUUUAAAGUAGUUUUAAUCCAAAAACUCUUCAAGUUCCAUAACUUGAGGACAAGUUAUGGAAGACUUUAAACUAAUAAAAGAAUUAACUUUUCUUUAUUUUAUAACUUAUGGAAUUAAUUAAGGUUACACUUUUUUUUUUUUUAUUUUAUUUUAUUAAAUGAAGAGACUCUUGGUCCUCCAUAACUUGAGGACAAGUUAUGGAGUCAUAAAACCAUUUAAUUAGAACUAGACUCUUCAUUUUUGUAACCUUUGCCAAUUUUUAUGAGUUUUAUGAUUCUUAAAUGUGACUUUUCAUAUAACUUGAGGACAAGUUACAAAAACACAUUUUAGAAUCAAUUCUUAGAUUAAUUUGGAUUAAAACCAACUAUCACAUAAUUUUAUUCAUUAAUCUAAAUUCACUCAUAAAACAAGGUAACACAAAAAACUUUUGGUGAUCCAUAACUUAUUCUUAAGUUAUGGAAUCCUUUAAAACAUUAACACCAAAUUUUGUAACUCCAAAAAAACUUUGAAUCAAUUUUUUUUUUAAAACCUUUUCAUAUCCAUAACUUAUGGAGGUUUCAAAAAAUAAAACUCUUUAGAUCAAACUUUUAAAACUAAUAAAAUAAUCAUAUUAUUUUAUCUUUUAUUAAAUUUGACCUAAUUCAACUCAUAAAGCAAAUUAUUCAAAUUUUACAAAUAAUUAGUUUUUCACAAGAACAAGUAAUUAUCUUAAAAUUUGACAAACUUCAUGUUUUUUUUUUUUUUUUUUUUCAACUUUGAAAAUAAAAUAUUUGCAUCAAUAUAACAGAAAACAACCCGUGGCUCUGAUACCACUGUUGGGUUUUGAGCAUUCUAACACUUCCUAAGUGUACAUGCAACCCUAAAUACCUUGGAUCUAUGUUUUCUCUAUUAUACAUGCAAAUAAGAACUUCCAAGGUAUUAUCCUAAUCUAGCAUACAAAACAAUAACUAUAGCAAGAUAGAAUACAUACCUCUUUGGUGUAGAAAGUCUUCAUGAAGCUUGAGUGCCUAGUGCCCCAAGUGUGACACCUCAAAUGGAAUCACAAUCAUCAAAACACUUAGAAUGACUUGAGAGAAUUCUACACUCAUCAAAAUCGGCUAGCCCUUUCUUCACUAUCUCUAGUGGCCGAUUUUUCCUCAAUAAUAAGAUGCUUAUAUAGUUACACAAUUAGGGUAAACUCUUAAUUGUCAUGGCUUUCCAUUUCCUUGGAUCCAUGGGUACAAAUACACCAUGGAGCAUCCAUGGACCAUCCUAUGGGUUUUAGCCCAACUUGAUUAUCCAUGGAGCAUUAGCCCACUAUACAAGUAUGGAUGAUUUACACAAUCAACCCAUAUAUUUAAUUAGUCUUCUUUUGAUCACUUAAUUAAUCCUAGAUUAAUUCUUGAUCAAUACUAAUUAAAUAAUCUUAUUAUUCUUAUUAUUAAUAUACUAGAACUUAUAAUAUAUUAAUAACCAUAAGUGUCUUAUUUCUCUCAUUCAAGUGCAUGAUGGUAUGCAACCCAAAUGGACCAUGCCGGGUCGGGUCAAGUCUUACCAAAUAUAGUUAUGGACUUAGACAUUAAUCCAACAAUAUAAUCCUUCGAGUAACAGACUCGUCCCUACAACGGUUAGACUCAAACGAGAGCUGCGGAAUAGGGCCAAAUCCAACACUCUAAGUUUAUCCACCUUGAUCACAUGUAGUGUGACGUAUUUACCUAAUGACUAACUCUCAUCACUCAGAGUCCCACAGAGCACAUAGCAAGCAGCAUUCGGACGCAGGAGAACUACUCAAGCAAGUCUGUCCUCAUAAUGAGAAGCUGAACUAGCAUACAAUGCUAAGCUCGUACCACCAGUCAUAACCUAAACAGGCUAUCCUACUACUGUCUACUCAAUAUUAGCAUGCAACUCUUAUAAGCUUAAGCACAUAAAGCAGGCACAUAAGGCAUCACUCCUAGAUCCUUAGUCCUAUUCUAGCAUGCUGUUAUACUGGAACUGAUAAACGAAACAUAAACUUGUAUGGGUACUUUGGGGAAUACUGACAUGAGCUCGGCCGGUCGCGCACAUCACACACUUCGUUCUUUUCUCAAAACUCUUUUCUUUAAAUUAAAAAAAACAUUUCUUUUUCCAAAAUCUUUUAAUCCCUCGAUUUGAGUUCAGACACCCCCUGAGGGUGUGUCCGAAUCCCUCAAACCAGGGCUCUGAUACCAACUUGUAACGACCCAAAUUUCACGUCCAAAAAUUUUCUUUUUAAAUUAAUACUUUAGAAAACGGUUGUAAUUAAAACAUUGUCUGGUCAAACCAUUUCAUAACAUACAUCGUGUCUGAAAACCGAAACAUGAAAAAAAACAAUCAACUAUGAGAGUACAAAAUCCCAGAAUGACUCAUGGUGCGGAAAACAAGGUGAGUGUAUGAUGUGCCGCUACCGCGCCAGCUCCUUCCCUCUUGAAGAAGAGGUACCUGAAAACAAAACUAUAAACCGUAAGCACGGAGCUUAGUGAGUUCCCCCAUAAUACCUCAUACCAUACAAACAUACAAUGAACAACUAGGAGAUACGGGCCUCGCCCACACUCAUGAAGAUACGGGCCUCGCCCACACUCCGCUAGCUGGGAGAUACGGGCCUCGCCCACACUCCGCUAUCUGGGAGAUACUGGCCUCGCCCACACUCCCCUAUCUGAGAGAUACAUGCCUCACCCACACUCCACUAUCAGAGAGAUACGGGCCUCGCCCACACUCAACUUCUACCAUAACAUACAAGUAUCACACAGACAACGAGUAUAAACAAUUCUAUCAUACUGGCAUAUAUCAUAAUCAACCUCAACUAUGAGAUACGGGCCCUACCCACACUCUGGCACUAACAUAUCAUCUAUAUGGUUCAGCCUUGGUGCCUUAGACCCGUUACUACUGGAAGGAAACUCACCUUGUAACGUAGUUACCGAAAGUCUGGUCGAGGUGUGAUAAUUGGAGAUGCAAGGAAGAGGCAAUACGGAAAUUCUAAGAAUACNCACUCAUAAAUACCCUUAGGUCAAUUGACCGACCCACCCCUGGUCCAAGGUCAACUCCUUGGUCAAAGUCAACCUCCAAUUGACUGGACUCGCCGAGUCGUCGCACAGACUCGCCGAGUCCUUCUCCUUCUAACCUGGUCCUACUCGCCAAGUCCCUCUUCCCACUUACUGAGUCACCCUUAACUCACUACUCGGAAAUAUAGAACUGACUCGUGAUCUGACUCGCCGAGUCCAAGAACGACUUUCCGAGUCCCCACGAGCAGAUCUCCUACUCACUUCCAAAUCCUCACCAGAGCAUCCCUUAAGAUGAUUUGGGGUUUUGGGACUAUUGCUACACAUUAAAUUGCUAAUUCCGCGUGCAGAUACGAAGGGUUGGACCUUCAACACUUAAACCCCUCUUACUCAGUGACAGUUCAUAUGACUCGCCGAGUUUGAAGAACAACUCGUCGAGUUCCAGGCAAUCUUCAAAGGAAUCGCCGAGUUGUUCAUCCAACUCGCCGAGUCUAAAGCCAUCUUCAUAGAACUCUCCAAGUUCCACUUUGGGACUCGCCGAGUCCCUUCGACCCACUUCCCAUACAGACCAAAUCUGAGACAUGCAAUGCUUCUAAACCAUAGAUCUAUGCUCCUAGGGCAUGCUUAUCACGUAAAGUUGCAAACUUUACGUGCAUGCAUAGCCUUACAAGCUCAAGAAGGCAAAUCCAAGCUCUUUAAGAGGUCAUACACUCAAUAGGGACCUCAAUAACUCCAACCACAGAGACUUUACACUUCUAAGAUGUCUAUAAGGUCCCAAUCGAAAGUCCUUUCAGAACAUAGAGCAUGAAUACGUGGAGUUUUAGGUUUUAGGGCUUGAAAACCACUAAUUUGGGACAAAAAGGGUAUCUAAUGAACUAGUGAUCAAGGUAAGAACUUUUCUACCUGAAUGGAAGCUUCUCACAGUAUAGAUUCCGGAUCUACCUCCCCUCCUUGCACACUUCAACCUCUUCCCUCUUCUUCUAAGCUCUCAAACCUUCCUCACAAGGCCAAAAUCAAUCUCAAGAACAAUAUGGGGGCUAGGGUUUCUUUCUACAGCUCUCUAGAAGUGUUAGGGACAAAGGAGGCCAAGUUAGAGCGUUUAAAUAGGGUGCAAACACCCGGAUUAGGGUUUUUUUCCCAAACAGGGUCUACUCGCCGAGUCUGGGGGCCAACUCGCUGAGUCCAAAGUUCGGACCUCGCGUCUUAUCCCGCUCCUACUCGGCGAGUUGGUCCUUCAACUCGCCGAGUCCAAGGCAAAAAUGCACUAAUUUAAAAUAUAAAUCACAAGGAGUACGUACCAGGAACUAGGUGCUACAGAGUUUCCUUACCAUCAUUUUCAUGAAUCGAAGAGAAACCUUAUGACACUUAGAUUUUAUGGUAUAUGUGUUCUUAUCCACGUGAAUUUGUCAAACCAUAAUCACAAGACUAGGUUAGUGACAAAUCCUAACUCAUAUGGAUUGAACUUGUGCAAUCUUUACUUCUUGCCACAUGGCAGCUCAAGGGCCUGCCAUUGCUUCCAAGUAGUUAUGCAAACAAUUGAGAACAUGAAGAACUCCAAUAUAUAGCCAACUUAACUUGAAUGGUCACAGAAAUGUCAACAUGAUAGAUUAUAAACCUCUAGUUGUGUGCUAGUGAUGAAAUACAAGUUUUAUGCUUGAUUACUUCUUGAGACCCUUUCAGGAUCUUUUAGACGCCCACUGUCUCCUUGACAUAUAAGACUAUCUUGCCAAAUAUUCAAGAGAUAGUGCGGAUUCUUUAUCAAGACAAACACUUCACACAAUUGGCCUAAGUUGGUCUUUGUUUUAUCCAAAACAUCACAACUUACCAAUUUCAAAUGUACAAGAGUAGGACACUUUUACUCUUACAUUUGAUAAGUGUGUUAAACCUCUCUUUAAGAUAUGUCACUCAACUUACAGUCUUGGAGUAUGACUCUAAGACUUGUUUUGUAACGAAGUAUGAAACAUCUUCUUGAUUUAACCAUUUCAACAAUUCAUGCACUUAGAGGAUGAAUUGUGAUAAGGUCUCAAAAUCAUUAAGAUGAUCUUAAAACAUGAUACUAAAGUACUCUUCCAUCUUUUCAGAUUUGAGAAACUUUUAUCCUUCUGCCUAAUUUGAUUCUUCUUAUUUGUUCUGUCAUACAUUGAAAAUCUUCCAAAGUUUCAGAAUUAUACUUAAGCUUGUAAGUAUAAUCAUAUUUACUAAACCUUAGCAAAUCAUGACGAAUAGUCUUAUUCACCUUUUGUGGUGGACUUUGACAAGUGCACAAGACAGUGUACUUGAUCCUUUAGUCCUUCUCUUGACUCACAUAUACAUGUGAACAAGGAACUAGUCUUAAUUUUCCAAAGUUGAUAGUUCUCAUACAUCACACUAAACCCCUUAUAUGAUUCCAAGUUUCAGUCCAAUCGAAACUUGGGUGAUGAGAAUCUUUCUUUACUUGGUAAAUUUAGACACUACCACAAAUGAAAGAAUCAAGUUCAUUUUUCCAAUGUUGCUAGAAACAUACAAACAUCAAGUUUUCAUAAAUGCCAUUGUAAGGAUAUAAAAAUAAAGUAAAACAAACAUUUAUUUAUUUUAAAAAUGUGGAAAAACUUUUUCCUUACAAUGUAACUUGAAAUGAAAACUAUGUUAUUACAUGUUUCCUAUUCAACACACUCUUUCUUUAAGUUUCCUUCAUUUUUACUUUGAUUCUUAAAACAUCAACAUGUGACCCAGUCACAUCAUGUAAUAAGAAUCUCAGAAUAGAAACUUAAUAGAGUUUGAUAGUGAACUUUACCUAAGUAGAGUCAAACUUAUUGACUUUACCAACCUUAUGAUAUUUCAGGUAAAUUUGGCAGCUUCGCAACCAAUGCCCUUUCCUUUUGGCAAUUGAAGCAUAUGGAUCCUUUGGGAAUGGUACAUGGGAUAAUCUUAGACUUAGCCUUUCUCUUUACCAUUUGGUCAACCGAGUUGACUAUGGCCGAUCCCUUUCCAUUGGGAAGAGAAUGCUUUUUCUAGAUUUCCAGUGUCAUGAUUUUCAAUGUCCAUAAAGUUUUGGGAAGUCAAUCUUCUAAUCAAAUUUGCUUUACUAGCCUUACAAAUCAUUUCUGAUUCAGCAGCACCAAGCAAAUAGAUAAGAUCAUUAAGGGUCUUGUCAUAGUCUGUUUCAUAGGAGUCCCAAAGGAACUCACUAUGUGACUUGGAAAGUGAUUGAACUGCAAACUUUGUCAAGACUUCGGCACCCAACUCUCCCGGCUUGUCAGUAUGUGACUUCAUCUCCAAGAAGUGAUCACACCUAGACCUUUCCUUGCCAAUAGGGCUUGAGUGACCAUGAACUUGUGGGUUAGGGAGAAUAAUUGGAGGAGGUGGAGGAAGUGAAGUUCCAAGAGAUUUGGGAAGAUCAUAGAUGUCUGAAGUAGACAUCUUUUGGGAGAUAUUCAAGAUAGUUGAUUAAAAGUCCUUAAUAUAACACUCAAUAUGAAAUAUUAAGGCUAGGACGCAACAAACUAUUUUAUAACUUGGAAGAGGGAUGCCGUAAUCCAAGCUAUAUAAUAUUUGAAGGUAGGUGAAUGACGAUUCACCAAUUUCCACCAUGAAAAACGAAAUAAUUUAUUAGGUUUUAAUUGGAUUUGAAACUCCUAGAUCUUUUGAGAUCCAUUGAACUUUUUCAAUGGCAUGUUUCAAUCUCGAGUGUGCCCUUCAGGUUUUGUGACUGGGAUGCCGAGGAUC